rnacentral:rRNA from 1 species
GGGGGCGGGGGGGGGGUGGCGGGGCGAGGGAAGGCGGGGGGACGGACGAGGAGGGGGCUCCUCUGGUGUUAGCGGCGGACGGGUGAGUAACACGUGGGUAACCUACCUAUAAGACUGGGAUAACUUCGGGAAACCGGAGCUAAUACCGGCUAAUAUUAUGACCCGCAUGGUUCAAAAGUGAAAGACGGUCUUGCUGUCACUUAUAGAUGGAUCCGCGCUGCAUUAUCUAGUUGGUAAGGUAACGGCUUACCACGGCAACGAUGCAUAGCCGACCUGAGCGGGUGAUCGGCCACACUGGAACUGAGACACGGUCCAGACUCCUACGGGAGGCAGCAGUAGGGAAUCUUCCGCAAUGGGCGAAAGCCGGACGGAGCAACGCCGCGUGAGUGAUGAAGGUCUUCGGAUCGUAAAACUCUGUUAUUAGGGAGGAACAUAUGUGUAAGUAACUGUGCACAUCUUGACGGUACCUAAUCAGAAAGCCACGGCUAACUACGUG